UGCGUAGGCGGGUCUUUAAGUCAGGGGUGAAAUCCUGGAGCUCAACUCCAGAACUGCCUUUGAUACUGAAGAUCUUGAGUUCGGGAGAGGUGAGUGGAACUGCGAGUGUAGAGGUGAAAUUCGUAGAUAUUCGCAAGAACACCAGUGGCGAAGGCGGCUCACUGGCCCGAUACUGACGCUGAGGACAAGCUGGGGAGCAAAC
rnacentral:rRNA from 1 species